rnacentral:rRNA from 1 species
CUACGGGGGGCUGCAGUGAGGAAUAUUGCACAAUGGGGGGAACCCUGAUGCAGCAACGCCGCGUGGAGGAUGACGCAUUUCGGUGUGUAAACUCCUUUUAUAUGUCAAGAAAAUGACGGUAGCAUAUGAAUAAGCACCGGCUAACUCCGUGCCAGCAGCCGCGGUAAUACGGAGGGUGCAAGCGUUACUCGGAAUCACUGGGCGUAAAGGACGCGUAGGCGGGUUGGAAAGUCAGGUGUGAAAUCCUACAGCUUAACUGUAGAACUGCACUUGAAACUUCUAAGCUAGAGUAUGGGAGGGGGAGAUGGAAUUAGUGGUGUAGGGGUAAAAUCCGUAGAUAUCACUAGGAAUACCUAAAGCGUAGGCGAUCUCCUGGAACAUUACUGACGCUAAGGCGUGAAAGCGUGGGGAGCAAACAGGAUUAGAUACCCCGGUAGUC